CGAGGGGCAGCACAGGUAGCAAUACUGGGUGGCGACCGGCAAACGGGUGCGGAACACGUACGUAACCUUCCUUUAAGUGGGAGAUAGCCCGAAGAAAUUCGGAUUAAUACCCCAUAAGAUUGUGGAGUGGCAUCACUCAGCAAUUAAAGAAUUUCGCUUAAAGAUGGGCGUGCGGCUGAUUAGGUAGUUGGUGAGGUAACGGCUCACCAAGCCAACGAUCAGUAACUGGCGUGAGAGCGCGACCAGUCACACGGGCACUGAGACACGGGCCCGACUCCUACGGGAGGCAGCAGUAAGGAAUAUUGGUCAAUGGACGCAAGUCUGAACCAGCCAUGCCGCGUGAAGGAUGAAGGUCCUCUGGAUUGUAAACUUCUUUUAUAUGGGAAGAAACCACUUUUUUCUAAAGGUGUUGACGGUACCAUAGGAAUAAGCACCGGCUAACUCCGUGCCAGCAGCCGCGGUAAUACGGAGGGUGCAAGCGUUAUCCGGAUUCACUGGGUUUAAAGGGUGCGUAGGCGGAUUAGUAAGUCCGUGGUGAAAUCUCCGAGCUUAACUCGGAAACUGCCGUGGAUACUAUUAAUCUUGAAUACUGUGGAGGUUAGCGGAAUAUGUCAUGUAGCGGUGAAAUGCAUAGAUAUGACAUAGAACACCAAUUGCGAAGGCAGCUGGCUACACAGAGAUUGACGCUGAGGCACGAAAGCGUGGGGAUCAAACAGGAUUAGAUACCCUGGUAGUCCACGCCCUAAACGAUGAUUACUCGACAUUUGCGAUAUACAGUAAGUGUCUGAGCGAAAGCAUUAAGUAAUCCACCUGGGAAGUACGACCGCAAGGUUGAAACUCAAAGGAAUUGACGGGGG
rnacentral:rRNA from 1 species